GGCUCCAUAGCUCAGUUAGAGCACUGGUUUUGGAAACCAGGGGUCGCGAGUUCAAUCCUCGCUGGAGCCU